rnacentral:sRNA from 1 species
GUUACCUUGCUACUUGCGAAGUCUCAAGUUCCACUUGGGAUACGCCCAAAAGCAAUCUAUUGAGAUAUGUAACAGGCAUAGCAAGAGCGGGAAUAA